rnacentral:tRNA from 1 species
AGGGAUAUAGGCUCAGUAGUAAAACACUUGCCUAACAUGCAAGAGACCAUGGGUUUGAUCCCCAUCACCCCCC